rnacentral:ncRNA from 1 species
UUUAUGGAGAGUUUGAUCCUGGCUCAGAGUGAACGCUGGCGGCGUGCCUAAUACAUGCAAGUCGAACGA